AUAUAUAGCUCAGCAAUGGAGCACGGGCCACCACUGAACGUCACCAUAUUAGGACGCCUACACCCCUCCUCCGUUCCCUUUGUACCUUCUCACCGUACGACCUCCCUGGGCUGCCUCACUACCUUCUCCACCUCCACGAGCUGUGCGGUUGAGUUGUUCUUCUUCCGCGGUGAGCUUUUUACUGCUAAUCGAUUGUGUGGUGAACCAGCGACUGCAGCCCUCUCCUACACGCUGCUGCUGCUGCUUUUUCUCGCGCGAGCGUUGUGUAAUUGUUGUGUACAAGUGCAUUGCUGAUAAGUUAUCUAAAAAUUAAUUAAUGGACAAAGCCUCCUUCCGUGUGACAACCUCUGAAAACCAGCAAAAAUGAUGCUGCACUUUUUUACUAAUUCAUCUGUAGUAAAAGUAAGUGUAUGAUUGUUGCAUUGCUCUGACCAUAUAUCCAACAUGACACAGGUUUACGGUGACCUGACCGUUGACUACUUGAAGAAGAUGUUCCACCAACUGUCGUUGCUCUAGGACUAUGAGUACAUCUACAUUUCUUUUCUUUUUACAGCUUGUGUACUUCUCAAGUUAAAUUUGAACUGUUUGCAGCAAACAUUCUUUUGCUACUGAUGCGGAACUUCCUAUUUAGUUAUGUCAGGCAACUCCUUUCAUGAUAAUUGAUAUUUGUUGACCUGCUUGAUAACCUGACAUGAGCCUUUUAUGAACUUGACCUGCUGACAUGAAGCUUAAGAGAGGUAAAAUUAUAUCAUGUUCAUAGAGUCGGCAGCAGUUCAACAACUUGACCUGCUGACAUGAACCUUUACAAGCCAACAGUGUAUAUUUCAGUUACUUCUAAGUUUGAAUGAGAUUCCGUGUUAGUUCCUUCAUUCAAAGCAGGUGCAUUUUUUUCAGGUUGUGGUCUUUUUGCUGAUUGAUGUACUGAUAGGUGUUGUGACCGAUUGGAGGCACAAACUUCACAUUUGCUGGGAUGUAUGAGUUGCAGUUGCUCUUAUUACAACACUUCACAACAAUGCAACUUGCUUUUGUUAGCAUUUUUUUCUGGAAGAAUUGGUAUUUUUUUUUGGAGAAUUCUGGAAGAAUUGGUAGUGCAUGUCUGAAAUUGCUAUUUGCAAAUAAGGACAAGAGUGUUUUUAUUCUUAGAUAAUUGAUAUUUGGCAGGGAUUCCCUGCUUAAAGCUCAGUCUACUAUUAAAAUAAGGGAUUCAAAUUUAUAUCAGGUUUUGCUUCCUCUUAAAAUCUAUCUGUGAGAGAUCGUGCAAUGGAAAGUUACAAGAUAAGUCAGUGGAGGCAAAUUAACAAAGCAAAAUAUCUUUUGAUCCUCCGAGAUAAGUCAGUGGGAUCUUAUGAAGAAGGAUCCAUUUAAUGGCGUAGAGGUUGAAGCAUCAGGGUGCAAUGGACACCAGGUAGAUAACCAUCCUAUGCUUGAAAGGAAAUCUAAAUCGAUACCUGAAGAUUGUGAACGAAAACAGUAAGUUCAGAUAAAGCCAAUGAUAGGGGCAAUCAUUGGACCAUUCGAGAGAUGUCUCAUUGCUUUGGCUUUCAUUAAAGUUGUGUCCUCACCAACUGACAUCCAGGUGAAGGAAUGUGGGCGGAUCAUAUGUUGAAAGGACUGGGCAAACAAGCAUUGGCAUCAUGAAGGAAGGCGGGUCUGUGGUGUUGUCCGCCUGUUACAACAUAGGUAACUCUUCGAUGCCGAAUAAAUAGAAGCAACCGCCGCACUGCUGGGCAUGAAAACUGAUCAUCUUGGAGACUGAUUAUGUUGUUGUCAUUGCUGCGCUAAUUUCUGGCACAAAUAAGCGAGGCCCUUGGUGUGGUGCAGCAGGUCAUGAAGCAACACAACUCUGUCAGGUACAAAAUUAUCAAGAUGGGGAGAGAGAGUAACAGGGCAGCAGAUGCCUUAGCCAG